CUGUUUCAUCAAUUCUUUCUUUGUUCUUUCUUUAAAUUAGGAAGAAUUAUCAAAAGCUAAUAGAAAUUUUAAAGACUGGCUCUUGCGCUCAUUCAUGCUGACCUGAAAAAGGUCUAUUAUCUGUCUCAUUGCACAAUACAAAGUCUCCCCGCCAAAAGAUGUAUUAGUGCCUUUAGCUAUUCAAGGGAUUCAACUGAUUGAGCAUGGUUGAGUCAUUAUAACUUGAUUUAUAAGACUUUUAAAGAUUGUCCUUGAUGGACUCAGGACCUGCCUGGAGACCAACUAGGGAACCUCUCCAGGAGUCAUGCCAUCUGACCUUCAAGACUGUGAAGGCAAUAGAUGAUGUCAUCGCAUUUGCCAAGCAAAGCCCCAGAGAACAAACUGCCUUUGACUUAGAGGAAUUCGAGAAUGCAAUCCAUUCUUUACAACUUCCUUUGCAGACCUCUGUACUUAAGCCUGAGGUAACCAACAAAUCCAGCAAAUUUUUAUUGCAAACCUAUGACAUCUCAGACAUUGUGGAAGACACUGAGGACGCAAAGCUAAGACCCAUUCCUUGCACUGAAGAAAUUCACAAUUGCAGGGAUAUUUUCUACAACAUCUACAAUAUUAAGAUUUUUUUUUUUUUUAGUGCCGCACCUGCAGCAUAUGGAGAUUCCCAGGCUAGGGGUCCAAUCAGAGCUACAGCUGCCAGCCAACACUAUAGCCAUAGCAACACAGGACCUGAGCCACGUCUGCAACCUAUACCACAGCUCAUGGCAGCACCAGAUCCCCAACCCACUGAGCAAGGCCAGGGAUCGAAGCCGCAGCCUCAUGGUUCCUAGUUGGAUUUGUUUCCACUGUGCCAUGAUGGGAACUCCAAGAAGUUUAAUGUCUAUUUGAAUGCUUCCAGUCACAGAGUUCUCAGUACUCCACAUAACAGUCUAUUUCUUUGAAUGUCAAUGUAGGUUACUGGUUAAGGAAAGAGGUUCUGGAGCCACACCGCUCGUGCAUGGCCAUGUUAUAUAAGCUCACUGUGUCUCAGUUUCCUCAAUGGGGACAUGAGAAAAUAAUUGUAUUGAUUUCACUGCGCCGUUAUGAGGAUUGACUAAAUAAGUUAAUAUCUAUAAGUUAUUUCAGAUAGAAGCUAGUGCAUAGCAAGUAUGCAUGUUAAUGUUAGCUACUAUUGCUGAGAAGAAGAAAUGCUAGUAAACCUUGCUACACUAAGUGUAAAGCUGCCUUAGUCUAAGAUCCAUCCAACAGACCUAGCAUCACACACUCUUGGGCAAAGCCUGAACCAGGCUCAAGCACUGCACAAAAACAUUCCAAGCUGGUUGGCUGAGUUGCAAAGGUAGGAAGGUUCUGUGCAAUUCUUUUAGAAGAAAGUGCUACUGGGUUCUUAUCAGUUAAUGUAAUGAUUGUGUGGAUUGUCCUCCUGAAAGAUGAGAAGAGCUUAAGAUGGGGUUUGCUUAUAAUUGUACUUGGAUGGCAUUAGAUUUCACAACUGAAAAACCUGAUUUUUUUUUUUUAAUAGCCGCAUCUGAGGCAUGUAGAAGUUCCUGGGCUAGGGAUUGAAUCAAUUGGAGCUGUGGCUACAGGCAUGUGCCAUAGCCGUGGCAACACUGGAUCCAAGCCACAUCUGUGACCUACACCACAGCUCAGGACAAUGCCAGAUCCUUGACCUACCGAGUGAAGCCAGGGAUAGAACCCACAUCUUCAAGGACACUCUGUUGGUUUCUUAACCCAAUGAGCCACAAUGUGAACUCUGAAAAACUAGGUCUUUAUUGUACAAAUUCCAUGAGUGAAAAGUGCUGCUGUUGGUAUGAUAGAAGUUGGAAAGAUCAGUAAAAUAAAAACCCAGUUCCUUAGUGUGGGGUUCAGAACUUGAACUCUGCAAAGUGAUUUAAAUUUAAAUCUCAUCUCUGCCACCUUCCAGAUGUGUGACCUUGAGAAAAUAACUUCAAUUCACUGAGCUUAAAAUUCCUCGUCUAUAAAAUGAGAUGGUAAUAAUAAUACCUGUCACAGAGUAUGGUUUUGAGAAAUAAGUGAGAUGAUAUUUUAAAAUUAUUUGCCGCAGAACCUAGAAUAUAAUAAAUAUCAAGUUAACACCAAGUACUUAUUAAUAUCGUCUAAGCUCCCAGUCUGAUGGGGGAAGAGGGGGAGAGACAGAUGGAUGCAUAAAUAACAAUCAUUAAAACUACAUGGUACUCAUAUAGUGUACAACAGAUGAACACAGAUAGGAGACAAUGGGAGAAGAAAAAAAAAACAGAAAUUUUACUUGAGAUAAUGUUGCAUUACACGGUUGCAGAUAGGUAGAUAAAAAGCUUUUUCUAUCAUGUAUUUAUUCAGUCAUUCAACAGAAUUUUCGUGUGCUGGUCACUCUGCUGGGAGAUAGGGAUCAAUCUUGUUGAGGAAAUAGACUCCCCAAAGAGACAAAAACAAAAAUGCAAAAGGGUAAACAAAAUGUCCAAGGAGGGUCAAGACCGCUCUUCUGGAAGGGAAGUAAUGUGAUUGGAGAAAGCUUAAGACUGGAAUAUCACGGAGCCUUGGAAAGCCUUGGAACACCAGACUAAGGGAUGAGCCUUCAUCCUGUAGGCCAGUGGUUCUCAACCAGGGUGAUGGCAUUUGGUAAUAUCUUGAAACUGGAGCGGGGCUACUGGCACCUAGUGGGUAGAGGCCAGGGGUGCUGCUACACAUCCAGCAAUGUGUAGGACAGCCUCUUACAAAAAAAUAAAUAAAUAAAGAGUGAUCUGGUCCAAAAUUUCAGGUGUGCUGAGGUUAAGAAUCUUUGCUCUAUACAUUGGAAAGAUGAAGCAGGUUUUAGGACUGGGAGUGAGAUGAUCAGCUAUGAAUCUGAUUCCUCUGAAGGAUGUAUGCUUGUGGGAGAUGCUGGAGUCAGGGAGACGAGAUAGAUGAAUUUGAAAUUGUUUGGGAAAAGGUGCUGAGGAGGGGUUAAAGGAGGAGACUGCUGAUGUGAGAGACACUGAGGGGGAAUAAUAGCUACUUCCUGCUACUAGGAUCAGCUAAUGCUACCUAAUGCUACCGGAUCAGCUGAAACAGUAUAAAGAAACAUUGAGUAUGAAAUAGAAACACAAUCAUUAGUUCUCUAGCUGUAUUUCCUUCCAGAUGUGUCUAAGUAAACUUUCUUUUUUUCUUUGAAAGNAAGUGACCCAGCCAUAUAUAUAUUUUUUUUUUCUCACAUUAUCCUACAUCACAUUCCAUCACAAGUGACUAGAUAUAUUUCCCUGUGCUAUACAGUAGGAUCUCCUUGCUUAUCCACUCCAAAUGCAAUAAUUUACAUCUAUUAACCCCAGACUCCCAAUCCAUCCCACUCCCUCCCCAUUCCCCUUGACCACCACAAGUCUGUUCUCCAAGUCCAUGAGUUUCUCUCAGUUUUGGUUACUUUUAGAUUUACAGAAAAGUGAAGCUAAUCAGAGAAUUCCCAUAUACCCAUCACCCAGUUUCCCCUGAUGUUAAUACCUUUCACAAGUGUGAUAAGUUUGUCAAAAGUCAAUGAUAAACUCUAUUUUAAAUUUCACCAGUUUUUCCACUCAUGUCCUUUUUCUGUUUCAGGAUCCGUUCCAGGACAUCAGAGUUCAUUUAGCUUCCAUAUAUUUUUUGUGUGUAUUUGUUUGUUGAAAAACAAAUGCAUUCACAGUAUGUAAAGUCACCUCCUCUCCAGAGGUCUGAGCAGACCCAAAUAAGGUUAAACCGUUGUGCUUUGGUGGAGCUGUGGGCUUUACUCAGAGUUCUCAGUAGCUUCUAUCUUGGCAGGAACUCCACUCUGCAACUGACACUUUCUUCUGUAAAUGGAAUUACUAAAUUAAGCCAAACUGUAGUUUUAAAUGGUUCCUUUUAUAAGAAUUAAGUACCUGAGUUUGGUAGUACAAGAUUCAAGUUAAAAGAAACUUCCUAUUCCAGGUACUCUUUUUUUAAAAAAAAAAUAUUUUUUAAAAAAUUAACCCAAAUUAUCAAAACAGAUUGUUGAGCCUGUUCAAAUAACCCUCAGUACCAGUAUAUGUGCUUCAUUGUUUGAACUGGUGCUCCAGUUUGACCGCUUUUGCCUCAUCUAUCCUUGCCUUUGUGGUCAACCCUCCCAGAGUGGCUCAGAGAAGCCAGAUGUGGGUAACUGGCCACCUCGCAUCUUACCCUGGACUGUUUCCCCUCCCCCUUGCCUUCCUGCUGCCUUUAUCUCCUUCGUUCUGGUUCUUCCGUUUCCUGGCUUCAUACACCAAAUCCUGAUGCCCACCUCAGCUCCUUUUACUUGUUUUGUUUAUUUUCAUUUUUAUACAAAACUAUCCCAUUCAUCCACAUUUUUGGAGAAAAUUAGAACCUACAGAUAAGCAUAAAGGAAAAAUUGAAAUUAUCUAUAAUCCUAUUAAUACUAAUAUCCUUACAUUCUGUUUUCUAAAAUAGACAUGUACAUUCUCUCUAAAUAGGCUCAUAUAGUGAUAACAACAUAACGACGUGUAGCAUCUGUGCCCCUAUGAAGUCGGUUAAUCCUCAAAAUGUCCCAUGAAGGGAUACUAUUGUUAUCUGCACUGUACAGGUGGGGAGAGUAAGUGCUUUGCCUGAGAUCUCAUGGCUGGGAAGUGGAGGAGCUAAUAUUAGAAAAACCAGAUUCCAGGAGUUCCUAGUGUGGCUCAGCAGGUUAAGGACCCAAAGUUGUCUCUGUGAGCAUAGCGGUUCAAUCCUUGGCCUGGCUCAGUGAGUUAAGGAUCCAGAGUUGCUAUAAGUUGUGGUGUAGGUUGCAGAUGCUGCUCGGAUC
rnacentral:lncRNA from 1 species